CAACACCAAAAAAAUUUAUUCCCCACAUCCUCUUGAGUAAGGUGGCGAAGCACCUCCAAAGGGAAGGAAACCGCCAAUCAGUGUGCGCGUCUCCAUACGAGGCAACAUGUCUUGUUUUAGUGGUUUUGGUCGUCAUAGCGAGGCGAAGUGCUUGGCAAUUUGUAUCCCGAGUCAGGUUGUUUGUUUACUCUUAAUCAGGUUGCAUUGUAUGAGUGCAG